UGUCGAGAUCAAUUCUGUGCUUCCAACUUUGUGGCAAUAGUUUGGGGAAGGCCCUUUCCUGUUUCAGCAUGACAAAGCUCCCUGUGCACAAAGCGAGUUCCAUACAGUAAUGGUUUGUCGAGAACAGUAUGGAAGAACUUGGCACGCACAGAGCCCUGACCUUAACCCAUCCCUUUGGGAUGUUGGCCUAAUCGCCCAAAUCAGUGCCUGACCUCACGUCUUGUGACUGAAUAGAAGCAACAUCUACUGGAAAUCCUUCCCAGAAGAGUGGAGGCUGUUAUAGCAGCAAAGGGGGGACCAAGUCCAUAUUAAUACUUAAUUAAUAUGGAAUAAGAUGUUUGGCGAGCAUACCACAUACUUUUGGCCAUGUAGUGUAUAUAGUUUAGAUCUUAAUUUUUCCAUUGGCCAGAUUUCGUUUUUUAAAUUUAUAUUGCCUUCAUCGAAGACCUUGAUAUGAAAAGUCACUUUUCCAAUAUGUUCCAGCAUAUGUAGAUCUUUGGUUAAUAAAAUGGUUAUAGGUUUUAGAGCUUGUGUUUAAAAAAAAAAGAGAGAAGAAAUUUAAAUGGAAAGCAAGGGGCAAAGUAUCUUUACAUAUAGGCUAAAUUGGACAUGAGGACCAGUGUGACUGUAUGUGUGGACACUUGUAAACAUUCUAGGGGAUCAAUUUAAGCAUGAUGCCUUCACUUUUUAUAACAAUCACAGGAAUACACAUUCACACCUCAGUCAUCAAACUUUCUCUCCAUAAUGUCUGGGGCUUUGGGAGCGAGACCCAGGCGCUUUGCUGCAACAACAUUACACGUCUCUGCUGGAGUGAUAAGCAAAACUCACUUUUCUCUGGCCUCUGGGAAUGUAGUCCCUCCCCACGUCUCACAUGACCUCCCGUUGGAACUGAUCAAAUAUAUCAGAUAGAAAUCCAACUAAGCAAACCACUUUAAGAUUAGACAGGCUAGCUUUAAACUCGCAUUUUCUGGGGAACUCGUUUUUUUAUUUGCAGACAGUGAUGCAUGAAUGCUUUCUAUUAUUAUACCAUGAAUACUAGCCUAGUAACUUAACUGGUUUCACCUCUGUUUGGUUUAAAUGUAAAAUGGAAAUGUGGAAAGCCCUGCUGGUGGCAAGUGCAUGCAGAGGGCUUCCUUUAAGCAUGCCUUUCAGGAUCUGAUGGUAAUCAACUGCCAUUUUGGGCCUCACCUUUUCUCAAAAGGACAAAAACUAAUGGGCUUUUCACACACAGUACAUUGUGUGGUUUGACCUUGUACUGGACAAACAUUUUCCUUUUCUUUGUUUUCUUUUGGUUUAAGUGAACUUCCUGUGCGAUCCUGAUCAUAAUAUUCUGUGAGAGUAUUUACUUCAAUUGGACCAUCAAAUUCAUUAAUUGUCUUAAAUGGAGCCAUUAGGCUCUCCAGGUUUGAUGGAAACGUAUUGGUUUCUAUUAUUCAGUAUGUAACCUAUUGAAACCUUAAGCCUCAAGCUUAAGUAAUAAAAGUAGGAGUGAUUUGGUUUGAGAAUAAAACAACAUGCGGCUGUAUUUUUUUAUAAUUUAAAAUAGGAAAUGUUUUCCCUAUCGGGUUAAUUAUUAGACAUGCGAUUAAACAUGAUAUUAAAUCGUUUCCAUGUUUUUUUUCAAAGGAUUUACUCAUUAUUUCAACCUUUCACAUCUGAAGGGAAACACUUUAAACAAAUAUUAUCCUAUGAGCUAUGACAAGAUAAUUUCAAACCGUUCUCAAUGGGUCUCUACUACUUGGUCUCAGCCUUGGUCUUCAUUACACCUACCUCAGAACAUGCGACAAACCUCAUGGCAAUGUUUGUCGCCGUGGGUGUCAGAAGAACAGUUGCAGGCAAUCCUAUCAUUAGAUGAGAAAUGUUUGUAGCCUUGCUGCGUCACAGUAUUUGGAUGUAGAAGUGAGCUGUAGACUACAGUUGGUUAUGGAUUGGUUUUCAUUUCUGAUAGGAAAAAAUUUAAAUCGUUAUCUCAUUCUUUCUGGUUACCAUGAUAACAUGCACCUGCUUAUUGCACGUAUAUUCCUUGAUAUGGCUUUCUGUGAUGUUAUAAAACUGUAGUGCAUGACGUUGUUACUGUUAUUGCUCUUCCAGCUACGUUUUCCCUUCUCGCUAAUUAUUACAGCUAAAAUGGCUCCUGGGUCCCUGGACGCCAUGUUGUGUGUGACGGGGGAAGAAAAUUAGUCGCGCAAUGCCGUGGACGCAGUCCCCACAAAGAGCCAACUGAUCUGGGCUGACGCUGGAUGUGCCUGUAAAAUAGUCCAGUCAUGGCUCUAUCUGAUACCAUCUUCCUUUCCAAAAUUAGACGACCCCCAUCAACAGUAGUCAUGGAUUUCUUAUUUUCUUUGAUUCUAUUGAUGUUUUUAAAGGAAUAAUUUUGCCAAAUUGAAAUUAAUCACAAUGUAUGUCAUUAAAUGAAUCUUCAAUUAAUCACAGAAAUGUGUUUUAAACCUGUACUCAAAACAGAUUUAAGAAACGUAUGUUAUUGUAAUUGAGGGUGAUCAGAUUGGGGAAUGCUGGAGUUGUUGCGUAUGCUUGUGUUGUGGCAUAUUUUUCUGAGGUAUUUCCAGUGAGACAAGAUGUGCAUUCACGCUCAAAACUGAGGCGUUCCAGCUGUGCUUUGAACGGCUAAGGACGCAGUGGUACGCAAAAGGCCAGAUGAACGGAGGGAGGGAGGUAGGGCUAUCGACCUCUGUCCCACGCAUGCUGGGUGAGUAACCAAUGCACCACUGCCCCGCUCAAAUUCACCUACCCCCCCCUUCAAUCUGCAGCACAACGCCCAACCCUCUCACUCUGAUCCCAUAACCAGUAUAUCUACAGGCCUACAACACCGUCGCCUAGAGAACAUUCCACAGCUGCGUUAGCUUAGAAGAUAUGGAUGUCAAGAGGACAACAUUCAGUAUUCUACGUUCCCUGUCUAGUUGGUUAAGUAAAUUCUACAUAUUCUAAUCACCCUGUUAAAUUGUCUGAUUACAAUUUGCGAACAUUGAUUGGGAACCUUAAUGUAAUCAUGUGGUUGAUUUAAGAUAUAUUAGGCUAUUUUUACACAGGCAGCCCAAUUCGGAUCUUUUGCCAGUAAUUGGGCUUUUGCCAAUCAGAUUAGAUCUUUUGCCAAUAAUUGGGCAGAACAUCAGAAUUUGGCUGCCUGUGUAAAUGCAGCCAAACAUCAAAAUUCCACCAUGUAUUUUUGUUAAGUUUGUAUUGCUGUGUUUAUUGAGGACUUCAGUGGCCUCCCUCAAUGAAUGAGAGCUGGACUAUAUCGGCCUACGAUACACUGUGCACGGUUUCAAUCAAAGUUUCCUUACCUUUCUGUCACGUUAUAGUUUUAAAUUGGCACUAAUCAUAUCACUACGAAACAGGUUUUCCUCCAGUUUCCCAAUUUUUCGUCCAUUGGAAUUCCUGACAACAUUUUUACAGAGACUUGUUUGAACGCAUGUGGAUUAGGACUGAAAACUAUAUGUACGACCAAGCUUUAUGAGAAAUCAGGGAAAAUACUGUACAUCUGUAGAUUACUGUUAUUUGUCCAUUACAGAAAAUGAAAGACAGGUUGCUGAUUGCAGAACCAUUUAUUGAAAGAUAUAGAAAUGAAUCACCUGAUGCUUAAUUGAGAAUUUGUUUUAAUUUGUAGCUGUCAAAUUCAUUUCAAUUAAGACACGUUGUUCUUUGUAAGUCUCAAUAAAUGACAUUGAAACAAC